AUUGAACGCUGGCGGCAGGCUUAACACAUGCAAGUCGAACGAGUGGCGGACGGGUGAGUAAUGUCUGGGGAACUGCCUGAUGGAGGGGGAUAACUACAGGAAACGGUAGCUAAUACCACAAACCAUCAUGUGUGCGCAGAUGGGAUUAGCUAGUAGGGUGGGUAACGGCGUACCUAGGCGACGAUCCCUAGCUGGUUUGAGCGGCUGACCAGCCACCCUGGAACAGUGACACGGUCCAGCCUCCUACGGUAGGACGCAGUGGGGAAUAGUGCACAAUGGCAGCAAGCCUGAUGGAGCCAUGCCGCGUGUAUGAAGAAGGCCUGCGGGUUGUAAAGUUCUUUCAGCGGGGAGGCGUUACCCGCAGAAGAAGCACCGGCUAACUCCGUGCCAGCAGCCGCGGUAAUUC
rnacentral:rRNA from 1 species